rnacentral:rRNA from 1 species
UGGGGAAUCUUGGACAAUGGGCGCAAGCCUGAUCCAGCCAUGCCGCGUGGAUGAUGAAGGCCCUAGGGUUGUAAAAUCCUUUUCGUCAGGGACGAUAAUGACGGUACCUGAAGAAGAAGCCCCGGCUAACUUCGUGCCAGCAGCCGCGGUAAUACGAAGGGGGCUAGCGUUGUUCGGAAUUACUGGGCGUAAAGCGCAUGUAGGCGGGUCGUUAAGUCGGGGGUGAAAGCCCAGAGCUCAACUCUGGAACUGCCUUCGAUACUGGCGACCUGGACCCAAGGAGAGGCGAGUGGAAUUGCGAGUGUAGAGGUGAAAUUCGUAGAUAUUCGCAGGAACACCAGUGGCGAAGGCGACUCGCUGGACUUGUGGUGACGCUGAGAUGCGAAAGCGUGGGAGCAAACAGGAUUAGAUACCCGCGUAGUCCCUGAGCGGGCUGGCAAGGCGCAU